GGGGAUAGCUCAGUGGUAGAGUGUGUGCUUAGCAUGCACGAGGUCCUGGGUUUAAUCCCCAGUGUCUCCA
rnacentral:tRNA from 1 species